UAAAAACUCAGUUACAUUCCUCUUCAGUGUAAAAAAAAUGUUGUGACUCUAAAGUUUUAAUAUCGUGACAAGGAUAUGAUUCAUUUUAUUUACUUAACAACUAAUUAUUUUGUUAACCUUUGUAUUUUCAACAAGCUUGGGAUUUUCAAACCUUAUAAUUUUAUUUUUCAGUGUCAAGUAGAUAGAUCUGUCACGAAUUUUCUGAAUAUUUCAGUCUUUUUAAUCGGCUAACAUAAUUAUUGAUGGCUUUGAUCUUUAUCCGAAAACAGGCGAGUGAAUAUGUAAAUUGUCUUGAUGAAAUUACUGAAAAAUUAAUUCAGAAUCAUCUACUACAUGUAACUAGGAUUGCAUUUUCGUAGAUUAUGCAAUAUCAUUAGGAAGAAGAUUAUUAUAACAGAGUAAAGAGGCUCCUGCCAAAGUUCAAUGACAUCACUGUCUCAAGAAUUGGAUUAAUUAAAAAAUAAUGAUUUUAAAAAUUUUCUUUUUUAGUUUUUGUGAAGAGAAUAUAUUAAUUACAGAUGAAAUCAUUAACGAUUAAUUUCGCUCAU